AUGAUAAUGGUGUUUUUAUUUGGUUGGUUCACAGUUGAUUCCAUUUAUUAUUUCUUUGUUUUUUAUUGCUUUGGGCUGAAAAACUAGUCAUUGAGGACAGAAUUGUUCAGAGGUGUUUGUAGUACUGUAUCAGCUUCGAUUUGGCGAGUCUUUGCAUAAUGCUCUUAACUACAAAUUAUAAGUGGAGCCAAAAUGGAAAAGCGAAAAAAUGUCUUAAUAAAAGACGAUAUUUUAAUAAUUUUUGUCAAUAAUAAGGGGAUCUUGGCAUCUCAGCGCAGCAAUUUUUACUAUUGUUCCUUUUCCUCAAUUAAAUGAUUAAAAA
rnacentral:misc_RNA from 1 species